CAUCCUUGGCACUACUCCCAAUACCAAUGUGGAUUAGCCCACCUAACACAUCAACACAUGCUCCUAACUUAAGAGUAUCAAUGGGGCAAGUUUCCUGCUUUGGUGGUGGAGGUGGACAUGGCACCGGAGGGGGUGGAGGAGGAGGGCAUGGGGUUUCUGGGGUUGGUGGCUUCGUAGGUGGGGUGAUCACUGGUGGCUUAGGCGGUAGGGUUGGUGGUGUAGGAGGUUUUAUAGGCGGAGUUACCACAGGAGGUUUAGGAAUAUACGGUGGUGACGAUGGUGGUGUUACAGGCGGAUUUGGUGGGUAAACAAUAGGUGGUUUUGGUACAAAAGGUGGUGGGUUCACUACAGGAGGUUUUGGUACAAAAGGUGGUGGGUUCACUACAGGAGGUUUUGGUACAAAAGGUGGUGGGUUCACUACAGGAGGUUUUGGUAUAUAGGGAGGACGAACGAUCGGAGGUUUGGGAAUGGUGGGUGGUUUGACAAUGGGUGGUUUAGGGACAUGGGGAGGUUUGGGAUGGGGUGGCUUGACAUGAGGAGGCUGUUUUGGUGGUUUAGGGUGAAAGGGUGGCUUUACUUUUGGAGGGUGUCUCGGUGGGUAUUUAGGAGGAUGCCCGGGCGGUGGCUUAGAGGGUGGAGUUGGGUAUGGACAGUAAGGGCAAGCAAGAGAAGUGAGCAAAGUGCCCAAGUUUAGAAGGAGGAUAAAGAGGUUAGCCAGAGCAUACUUGGCCAUUGUAGAGCUGCAAGUGAAUGCGGUUCAUGUCAUGCCUAUACCCUGUUUUAUACUCACUCGAACAAAGAGAUCAAUCAGUCCUUCUCAUUAAUUUAUUUUAUUUAUUUGUCGUGAUUUAUUGACUUUAAAACCCUCAGAAAUUCUUGUUAUUAAAAAUAAAUAAAUAAACACUCGGAAAUUCUUGGCAUUUUUCUGCACAUGAUAUGGAUCCGAACAAGAGCUUCCUGGGCACAUUUCGGUUUGUCAUCUAAUUCCAUAAAUUCUAUAAUAUUAAGAUAAUAUUCAUACAUGUCUUGAAUAACCAUUGUUAAUGAUAUUUACACAUAUGUAAUUAUCUUUAAAAAAUGUUUAUACAUACAUCAUAUCAUCCAUAACUUAUUAUAGAUCUCACAUGUAAGAAUUACAUAAUCUAAGUGGAAGUAAUGCAUCCAUAAGGGACUGUAUCAACACCAUAUUUUAACAUACGUUUUGCACAUAUAGUAUUGAUUUAUAAAAAAUUUAAUAUUUUAAAAGAAAUUUUUUUAUUUAAUUAAGCAUAUAUCAAUAAUUUGAUUUUUAAAUUAUAAAAUACAUUUAAAAAUGGUAAAUCAUAAACCCAAGAAUUUUGUUUAAUAGUAAGUAGUAGCUCAUCCUUAGCCACUAGUCGAAGGGCUUAUUGGCAUAAAGCUCAAUCAUUUGGUUGCAUUAUCAGAUUGAAAUUAGGAAGGAGUUCUCUUUUAUUUCUUUUAUAUACUUCAAUUUUUUUGACAGCAGAGGGAAUCAUUUAGACGCGUUUUUAGAUUUUGGACAAUUUUAACUCGUAGCGACUGCUGUGCCCGUGAUUGAUUAAAGGCUGCUGUAGAUUCAUGUUCAUGUGUCUCUUUCUUUCUCUCUCUCUCUCUCUGCACAAAUUCUUUCAUCUUUUCAACAAAAAGAAUAAUUAUAAAAAAAUAAUCCAUAACAUCAAAAGUGAAAAAAAUAUUUACUUUAAUUCUUUAAUAAUAAAUGUAAGAAAAAUAAAACUAUUAGGAUAAAUUAAAAAAAAUUAUCUCGAAUAAAAUUUUUUUAGAUAUUAAUUCAGUUUAUAUUUUUAGAUAAUUUGGUUAAACUAAUUAUUUUUAAUUUUUAAUUUAAAAUUCGAUCCUAAACUAUACCCACUAAUUAUAUUAUUACUAAUUAAGUUUUGAAUUCUAGAUAUUUCUAUAAAUAAAUAUAAUUUGUUAUUUAAGUUUCUAAAGAAUUUUACUUUAUAAAUAAUUUUUAAAAUUUCCAUAGAUAUACACUCAAAAAGACCAGUUUUAUUUUUCUUAUUUUUUCAUAAAUUUGUUGUUUAAUUUUUUGAAUUCUUAAGUGUUUACCCAGUAUUUAAAUUCAUUUUUAUGUAAAAUUAAGAAAUUAAAACUCCAUAAUUGACUUUUUGUUAAUAAUAUAUGAUUUAUUUAAUCCAACCAUAUUCACGUUAAUUACUGCUUCUAUAUAAUUCACAAUUAUAAUUUUUGUUGAAAGUAUUUAAAUUAAUUUAACCUAUUAUAUUUCUGUAGAUUAGUUGAUUUUUAAAUUUUUAUAUAGUAUAUAAAAUAUUAUUCAUCAAAUAUUAUAUUUAUAUUAGUUAAUUUUUAAUUAUGAAAAUAGUUAAUAAAAAUAAGUUAGUCAAUCAAUAUAAAUAUAACAUUAAAUACAUAAUACUAUAUACUUAUAUCUGACUUAAUUUAUUUAAAGACAAUGUAAUAAAUUAAAUUAAUUUUAAAAAGUCCGUUUUUUAAUUUAAUUAAUUUAAAAAUAAUUUGAUAAACUAAAUGUAUUUAAAAAUUUAUCAGCACUUUCAUAAAUUUUAAUCAGAAAAAGAAGGUUACAUUACAAGCCAUAAUCAACAAUUUCUUUAAGUAAAGCAUUUCAUAAGAGGACAAGCCACAUAAUAAGGGUUUUUCUUUUUUUUUUUUNNNUCUUUUUUUUUUUUUUUUCUUUUUUUGUUUUUGGGUCAUAGCCCCUUACUUUAAUGGCUUUCAUGGAUAGUAAGAUGCACUUGUAAUCUAUUCUUGCUCUCGAGUCAAUGAUGUCGGCCAUAUAUCCAUCCAAAUGUAAUUAAAAUAAGAAAAAUCAUUGGUGGCAUAUGUUUCAUACAUCAUAAUCAAAUAAAUAAAAUCUUCCAUGAUAAAAAUAAUAAUAAACAAAGAGAAUGUGGUGAGAUUUGCUUCAACAUAGGUUUUUUUAAGAACAACUAUUUGCUCCAAUAUUUAUUAUAAAUCAUCUCUUACUACUUUCUUUUCAAAUCAAUCAAAAACAGAUUAGGUAUUGCUAAACAAAUAAAAUUGCGUGUUAAAACUUUUCAUUUUUUUUGGUAGAUUUGAAUCUGAGUUUGUUUAUAAUAGAUUAACCAGAUUUAAGAUAUAAUAUGAAAUAAAUCAAUAAUGAAUAACCAUUUAGUACUACUGAGUUUUAGUAUGAUAGUGAGAUAUUUAUGAAGUAAAUAAAUAACAAGUAACUAUCUAGAACUACUGAAUUUUAAUUCAGUAGUCAAGUAAAUAAGUAAAUAAGUCCAUUCUUAAGCUCUAAUACUAUAUAAGAAAUCUAAGGAUUUAAAGAUUAGAAAUGAGAAGAAUAUGAAUAGGUCAUUAAUAAAUCAAUUUUAAUUUAAGCCUAACCAUUAUUAUAACUUAAAUCAAGUUAAUGGAUUUAUUUUAUAUUAAUUUUUUUAUAUUUUCUUAUCUAUUUGAUGUGGGAUAAUUUAUACAUCCUUCAACAAUUUUUUUUUUUUCAAAUGUAAUGGUUUAAUUUUUCCUUUAUAAAAUUUCUCUAAUAUAAUGUACUAACAUGUUAACUAUAUCUGUUGUUUAAAAGAAAUAACUAUUUAGGAUUAGUUACUAAAAGCAAUAUUUUUUUUUAAAAGAAUUAUUAUGAGGUACAUUAUAAAAUAUAGUUCUCUAAUUAAGGGGAACUAUUAAAAAUAAGCUCUCUUUUCUUUUCUUCAAGAAUAUAACAUUAUAGCGACAAUAAUUGACCUAGAUUUUCUUUUUGUAAGAAGAGGGACUUAGAUUAUUCAUCACUGCUAGAAUCUGGCAGUUUAAUAAUGAAAAAUUAAUGAUGGAUUAAAUCUGUCACUAAUAGGAUAAAGUAGAAAGGGACCCAGCGACAAACUAGCGAAGAGAAAAUGGAUAAGAAUACAAUGAUAGGAUGGCUACGGAUUUGCAACGAAUAUUAGCGAUGAAUAUUUUCCCUCGCUAAUUGUCACUAAGAACUUGCUAAAAAUACCUCUCAUGUUCAUUGAAUAUUUCCACGACAGUCAGAUCACCUAUAAUUGUAUUAUUUUUCAGACUUCACAAUACAUUAUAGUUCAAAAAUUAAUAAUAAUUAGUAUAGUAUAAAUAUUUAUUCCAAAAUCAACUCACAAAUAAUUUUUCAAUACGUAAAUUAGUUAUUCACAGUCACGAUAUCACAAAAUCAAAUAAUAGUUAUUCACACUAAUAAAUUUAUAAUAUUUAUAAUUAUUCAUCUAUUAAUUAAAUUAAAUUAAAUAAUAUUUAUAAUUAUUAAUUAAUAGACUUAAUAUCUUUUGAUAAUUUAAAAUAAUUGUUAAGCUCUAAACAAAUUAUACUGUGUAAAAAAUUUAAAAUUUUGCACGUCCAAAACAUAAUGGGGUUCAAAAGUCGGUAAAGUUAAUUAUGUCAGAAUUCGAAUUCGAAUGUGCAUACAUGAAGCUUGAGACCCAUAGAAUCCGAAUAUGUAAAGAUCUUUGCCUAAAGCUCCCUAGAAGACACGGGAUCGAGGGCGGAAAGUUUCAGCUUUGGUGAGGUUAUACUAAAACUGGCUGAGACGGAAAAUGCGAGGGGAAGGGUUGUUCUUGGGUUUUGAGGGGUGAGGAACCCAAAUACGGUGUCAAAUUUGCAAAAUGACGACAGCAGGCGGCUGUUCUGGUGGCGGUAAUAGAGAGGACAGUCCUUGCUGCAGCUGAUAUCUGAUAAAAGGGGAGAGGAAGGAGUGGCGCCGAUAAAGAAAAUGAAAGGGGGAACGGAGCUUGGUGGUUCGGUGGCAGAGUAGGCAGCUGGAAAUGGGUAGAAAGAGGUGGCAAUGGCGAUGUAGAGGAGGGGAGGAAGAAGAAAAUAUUUUGGGUCUUUUUGUUAGGGACCAAAAUAAAUUUACAAAUAAGAAAAAAUGCUCAUAAACUCUCUCUAUUAGAAGGACAAUGCUACAGCACCCUAGAUCAGUUAUUUUAUUUAUUUUAAGCAUAUAUAUAUAUAUACAUAUACAUAUGUAUAGGACUUAGUUAAAAUACAUUACAUUAGUAUUAAACAUAUUAAAAUAAUAACAUACCAUCUAAAUGAAUAAUAAAUAACAUAAUUUAAGUCCAUUUUAUAUUUUACAAAUGAAUGUGCAUGUUAAAGUUAACUGAAUAAAAUUUUGACUUUAUUAUUUAAAAUCACUAAACUAUAUCUAAGAUUCAUCAAAAUCAAUAUAUUAUAAUUAUUGGAUAAUAUUAAAAUAAAUGAUACUUAUUUUAAUCGAUUAUUAAAAUAUUUUAUUAAAUGCUCAAUUUAACACCAUAAAUAUUUAUUUACUAAAAUACCUUCAAAAAAUAAAUAAAAUUAAAAUUUAAAAAUCACGAAUAUUACAUAUAUUAUAUAAUUAGUUUAAGAUUUAGGUAUAAGUAUAACUAUUUAUCGACAAAAAUUAAUACGAUUAAGUUUACAUCAAACUUAAAAUAUAAACUUCUUAUAAUAGAAUUAAUACAUAUAAUACAAAUCUUGUUACUUUGUGAAGCUGAAUUUCUGUUAUUUUAUAAUGUGUGUGUAUAAGCAUUUUGAUGAAUGUUAUAUUACAUAUGUUAAAUUAUAUUGCCUAUGUUAAUUUGGUUGGUACUGAAAUAUGGAAAAUAAAAUACUCAUUAUAUAUGUGAUUAUUGCAUUGUGGUGUGUAGGAUUGAGCAAAAAUAUAUAGUUAGGUGGUCCGAAUCAAUAUUUAUAUUAGAAAUGUGUUCUCUGCAAGAGUAUGGACUCUUAUUUUAUGGAGAGUUUAGGUCCAAUUUUAGGAAAAAUGCUGCCGAGAUUUUUAUAGAAAUUACCAUAGCAUUUUAUUAGUUUUAGAAAAAGAGUAUUUCAUCAAUUUUCUUUUUAUUUUGCAUAAAUUGCAGAAGGUGGAGCAGGAGCAAUAGUGGUAGGAUGACGAGGAGCAGCAGGACAACCAUCAAUACUAUAGGUUCUUUUCUUAUUCGUUGUAUAUAUGGUCGAAUUUGUAUGCUACGUAACCUGAAAAAUAUUUUAUAUAUUUACUGGUUAUUAGAUUUUAUUUUAUUAUGCAUUAACUUUUUUUCUUUAUAUUCAUGCCUAAUUUUAUUUAUUAAUUAAUAUUUAAAAUAUUAAAAAUAAUAUCCAAAAAAAAAAUAAAUCAAAAUAUACCAAAAUAGCGACGACUUAGUGCCGAAAUCUCCGUUGCUAAAUACUGCCUCAUGGUCGCUCAAUUAACAACAGAUAUAUUAUGUUGCCAAUAGCGAUGAAUAGGGCGUUGGACAUAGUCAUUCGCUAAUUAUAGCGACAUAUAAUAUGUUGUUAAGGUAGUCGCUAUUCUAUUGCUAAUUUUAGUGACGAAAUAAGUCUGUCUUUUUAUUUGCAAUGAGCAAUUUAGCAUUGAACUUUUUUCUCCGCUAAUCUAUCACAAAAGUUGAGUAGUGACAGAUAUACUCCAUUAUCGACAGAAAAAUCUGUCACUAAACUGGCAGAUCCUUAUAGUGGAUAACUGAACAAAUAAAUUGGUAGAUCCUUGUAGUGGAUAACUGAACAAAUAAUACAUAGAGUAAAUCAGCAUUCAGACAAUUAUAAUUACAUUGAAUUAUAAGACUUGUUGAAACAAUAAUUUUAGUAGAGUUUAAAUAAAGAUAUCCUAAUAUAUAAAUAUAUAUUUAGAGAUAUAAUAUAUUGAGAAACCUAAUUCUAGAAGGAUAAAAAAGUUCCGUAUAUAGAUAGUCCUAUCACAAGUAGGACAAGGAGCAUCUUAAGGCCCUGUACGAGGGCACGACCACAAGACUAUCAAGUACACAAUUCAGUUUUUUUCUAUUUUAAAAUUUCUUUAUUGAUAAUUCAUUGACCAGAUAUCAAUUGAUAUUGUGCGUGGAGAAAAAGAACAUAAAACCUUUUUCCACUCAUCAAAACUUUAAUCAAACAAUGAUUAUGUAGAUGUUCCCCUCUCGGGAUAAACCCAACAUCUGGAGCUAAUAACACACUAGUACCACCAUUGGCGAUUCAACAAAUGUCUGGGAUGUCAACACUACCAGAACCUUAGCAAUUUCCUAAGGUUCCAACACAACAUAAGGAGAACACUUUUCCAAAAUCAAAAUAUUUUAGUAGAAAACGAAUAUCAUCGAUAGCGCUCGCGUUCCUAAUCCGGAAUAUGACACCACUUGGGCUACGCCUUUAACGAUGUCGUUAUUUCUUUUACUCGAGAGGAACUUUUAAAAGGGAAUGCUUGGUUCCAUGUUUUCGACCAAUGCUGCUAAUUCCCCUCCUCCUCCAUCUGGAAGCAGUUACAAGAAGAAGAAUGGCCAGGCCUUAGUGACAUCGCUGUCGCUAAAUUUAACGACGGAUGAUAAAAGUGUCGUUACUGUCAUAACGACAAGUAUUUUAGUGAUCCGUCACUAUUUAUUUUUGCGGAUGCCACCCCUUAGUUUAGUAACAGCAAAUGCCAUCACUAAACGCACCUUUUGUUUGUAGUAGAGUAGGAGGAUAACUCGUAAGAAAUAUAGAUGAUCUUUACUAGUGUCCAUCACUAAAUGCACUUUUUUUGUAGUAGAGUAGGAGGAUAACUCAUAAGAAAUAUAGAUGAUCUUUACUAGCUAGUUAAGUUGUCGCCAUCCGUCUAGCUAGCUACGUAAGCAACUCCGUCAAAACCUGCAAGUUAGAUGUAUAGAAACCUCUUGGCUCCUCCGUACUCGACAAUCUAUGUGACAAAACCUGCUAAAUUGAUAACACAAUUGUCUCCACAAACAAUCACUAACAGAAACUUUUUCUCCUAAGUUAAUGUUAUCAUAUCGUCAAGAGAAGUGAUUCUCCUCCGUUAAACUCUUGUAAAGACUUUUUUAUAACAGCAUGACUAACUCUACUAUCGGAAGAGUUGAGCCAGGGUGUUCCUCCUAUCUUGCUGAUUGUGUCUUACAUGAAAAACAUUGUUCCAAUAAACUUUUGGGCCCAUCAGAACUUAUUUGUAAAUUAAUCAAACUGUUCUGCCAAACUCUCCUCUUAUUUUACAUAGAAAAGAAUCAUUAGGUAGUUUAUCAGCAAGUCAUGGCCUUUUCUUGGAAUGCUAUGUGUGCCCUAACGAUUUCUUUAAUUGCAUGGAAUCAGCCAUUAGUGCUAUAUGCUUAUAUGUGGAAUCCCUUCAUUUAAAGCCUAACAUGACUUUUUCGGAUCACAAAAGAACAAUACAAAAGAUUACCAUCUUUUAUAUAUCAAGUUGAUAUGAUAGGACAAAGUUGUUACCAAAUUUCCACAUAAAAGAUAUAAUACCACAGCCAGCCCUAUAAUGAUGACACAUCAUGUCGGCCACAAAUUUACAAAUUGGAUUGGAAAACGGUGCAAAACUAAUGGCUGGAUUUAGCUUUAUGGAUGAACUCUUUACUACAUAUAUGUAUAUGUAUAUUACACAAGUUGCACUUAGAUGGAGUGGGGAUACGAAAGGGUCUUUGUUCCAAGAUGGAAAACAGAAUACCGAAAUUGAACUAGCUUAGUAGAUCUCAUUUUCCUUGAUUGACUUUAAGUCAUGUACGUCAACAUUGUCCCACUGUACUCCACCCCACCCCACCCCACCCCACACAUUCAUCUUUCUUGGUGGUAUUAGGGAUCAAGCUAUGUGGGAUGUAAUAGGAUCGAGCUCAGCCAAGCCAAGUUGAGUUUAUUAAUUUGAAUUUAAUUAGAGCCGAAUUAUCAAUUUUUUUAUUACAUUUUAUGAUAUUAAAUAAGCUUAAUUGAGUUUAAACGACCUCUAUAAUUAAAAUUUAAAAAUAAAAUUAUUUAUUAAUUUAUUAAAAAUGAAAUAUUUAUACUAAAAAUUUAUAGCAUAUUUAAAAAAUGUAUAAUUCUCAUUCUAAUAAUAAGUAUAAAUAUGAAUUUUAUAAUUAUUAUAAGUGAAAAUAUAUUAAUUUUAUAUAUCAAAUUUAUGAGCUAACUUAUGAGACUUGUGAGUCUUAACGAUAAAAAAAAAAUGUACGAACAUGACGUCGAAUUUAGAAAAAAUUAUUUUUAGUUUUAGAUCAUUUAAAUUCAAAUAAUUCUGGAUUCCAAUUAUUUUUAAUUUUAAAUCAUUUCUGGCUUUCUCAUUUUAUCUGGAUCAAUUCUUUACGGGCUUCGAUUAAAUAGGAUUUGAAUAACCUCUAAUUCAAGUUUCUUUGGAUUUUUCAGUUUCAUAUAAAUUGUUCAGUUUUGCAUUUUCAUCUUAUAAAUUUAUAUUGUAACACUCUAUAAUUUGAUAGUAAUUAAACUAAUAUUAAUUACUUGACAAUUAGUUAAUUAAUCUCUUAAUUAAUGAAUAAAUUUAUUAGUUUAUUGAUCAAUGAAUAAUUAUUAAUUAAAACAUCGAUUAAUGAGAUCUUUUUAAACUUAUUAAUAAAAUUAUCAAUGUACUUAAAAAUUAAUAUACAUCUAAUGCACUUCUAAUUAAUUUAAAUGACAUUUAAUCAAAUAAAACUAUAUAUUUUAUAAAAUUCAGUAACAUAUAUACUAUUUGACGCCUUAACUCUUUUUGUUUUAAUUCAUAUUAACAAUUAAUAUAACAUUCUUUCAAGAAAAUUAAUAUAAGAAAUACAAAAAAUUUAAUUUAUAACUUAAAAUUCUUUUAUUUGAUUAUUUGUUAGUUUAUAGUUCCUUUCAUUUUAUAUAUUACUAUAUUCAAUAUAAUUAUUUUGUUUAAUAAUUCAAAAAAUUCAACAAAGCAAUAUUUUAAAAGAUUAGGUUCUUGGAGAUGAAUGUAUAAAAAACAUUUCUUAAAAUUUUAAUAAAAAAUAAAAUAAAUUAAAAAUUUUCAUACUAAAAUUUUUUGUCAAUCCAUAUGACAAUUAUAUAUAAAAAAACUUAUAUUGUAUUAAUAAGAUUUUCUUUUAUUUUAGACCGUUUUAGUUUUUGAAUAGACUUUGUAUUAGUAAUUUUAAAUGGUACUGCUUUUUGGGAAUUGGCAAGGUUGGAUUUAUAUAUUUUAGCUUCAGCUCAUGUUGAUUUUUAACUAUUUCAGUAUUAAGUAUUUUAGAAUCACUCCAAUUUUAUCUUAUUUUGAAUCGAGUAGUACUACAUAAUUUAUUAUUUUUUAUCUUAUCUCUUGCCUAUUUGAUGUAGCAUUUACUAUUUUUACAAGAUCGUUUCUUAAAAUUUUAAAAUUAAGCAAUAUUUUUAUACAAGUAAUGGAUGCCACAUUAGAUUGGCAAGAGGUGAGACAAAAAAAUAAAAAAAAAUUUAACUUUUUUUUUUGAAUCCGAGUCAUUUUAAAUCUUGGCAGGUCAACAAUGAAAUUUGAUAUUUACAUAAUAUUGUGCAUAGCAAUAAUAUGUAUAUAUUGAGUUACAAAAUAUGAGCAAAAUUUUUAAAAUUAGUUUUUAAUUAACAUAAUUAGUUUACAAUUUUAGUAAAAGAAUUAAUAAAUAAAUAGCCUAAACAACAUUUAUAUAUACAUAAAGUUGAGAAUUAGUACAUUCUGAUAUAUAUAUAUAUAUAUAUAUAUAUAUAUAUAUAUAUAUAUAUAUAUAUAUAUAUAUAUAUAUUUAUUUAUUUAUUUAUUUAUUUAUUUUUGAUAAAUAGGCAUAGUUUUUAUAUUUACUUGAAUUAAUACACUGUAAUUAAUUCAUUAAGUAAUAUAUUAUUUGUCUAAUUAAAUAAAAAUUUUAAUUUUAAACGAUAAUUUUACUUAAUAUAUUAACUAAUGAGUUACUAUUUUAAUUAAAGAAAGAUUUUCUGUUCAAAAAAAAAUAUUAAUAACAUUUUAAAUAUACAUUCAUAUAACAAUAAUACUAUUAUAAAAUGACAAAAUUUUAUGAUUUUAUAUGGCUUAUUAUCAAUUAUAUAUUUUAUUGAGAUUUUAUAAAUUAUAUUCAAUUUAGUAUUACACACAAUUAUUCUCUUGAAAAAAUAAAAGAAUUAUUUUAAUGUGAUCAUAAAUUUUAUGUCUAAUACAUAUGCAGACGUAUUAACUUUCUUUAAAUUGGUCACUUGUACACUUCAAAUUUCUUUUUUUUUUUUUUCCUUUUAAACAUUUUAACUGUUUUUAACAAGACAUAUAAGGGUUGGAAUAUAAAUGAAUAUAAUUAGAACUAACAUCUAAAUAGCUGUUCUUAUGCAAAAAAAAUAAUUUAAUAGAAUUUAUCAUAAUUGUGUUUUUAAACAAAAAUAACAAAAUAAGUUCACUAUUACAUAACUUAACCUUUCAGUUUGAGUGGAACAAAAUGAGUAAAUAAUGGUUUACACAAAUUGCAAAUAUGCAACUAAGUGCUACAUAACCGAAACCAACUGAUGUAGUUGAAUAAAAUGCAACUUAUCUAACUAACUAAUGCAAAUGCAAGUUGGUGUUAAUUGCGUCUAUUAGGUUGAGAUGAUGACUUUGCUUGAGCUUGGUUGCUUUGGCAUUAUUUUGCUGCUAUAGGUUCCUAGGAGCAACACACUUUUUGCCCAUCCAUUUAGGAUGAAGUGGUUCGUAUCCUAGGUUUCCAGUUACAACAAUAGGCCUUUUAAUCUGACUAACACUUAAACUUCCUGUAUUUAUAAUCCUACCACCUGCACAUCCAUUCUAUAUGUACAAAUCCCAAUACAACCAUUCACUAGCAUUCACAUAAGGCUUAGCAAAUAUAAUUACCUUUUCAAUUGUAAAACUGAUUUUCUUAUUGAUAGACACACCAACACCAAUGAAUGGUUUUUUCUUGUCCACUUGUUUCAUACUUGAGGCAUAUUUACUUCCUGUGUGCAUUUGGCAUUAUUUUGACCUUUGGUCUUGCAUAUAGAACAAGUCAUUCUAACUCCAAUCCUUGACAUCUUUCUCACAUUUUCUUGGCUCAUGGCUUUCCUUUUUUCUAUUUUCUUAGGUCUUCCUAGCUUUUUGGUGGUCAUAUGAUGCUCAAUUGUAGGUUUCCUGUUUCAUCCUACAGCCUCAUGCCUCUAACAGGCCGUAAAGCAUGACCAUAUGCUUUCAAGUAGGUCUCCUUCAUAUACCAUUUUCCAACAUAGCUUUUUGGAUUCAAAUUCUUAGGAAACAUUGCACAGAUUGCAUGUGGACAAGGUAUUGCUUUCCAUUUCCAUGACCUACAAGUGGAAGUUUCAUUCCUCUAGUCCACUAUAUCGCCAUAAUCACCAUCCUUAAUCUCAAAUCUACUUCACCAUUCCAUUCAAUGAUGCGGCUCAUAGCAUGUAACUUAUUUUUCUCCAAAUAUCUUAAGGCUGUUGGUGAAAUGUCAAUUAUUCAAGUUUUAGCAAAAUCCCUUAUAAUCUUAAUCUUAUUCAUUACCUUCACCCUAUUUUCCUCUAGCAUACUGAUAAUUAACAUAAAUUUAGGGCUCAAAAUCCACCCAUUAAAUGUCUCAGCCAUGUUGUUCUCAACAACAUCACACUGGCUGUCAAAAUCAAAAUGAACUCUACUCCAAUUCUCAAUAGGUAAACAUAAUAGUUUUUCCACAAUUCUCUUUCCUAGUUUUGCCAUAUUAUCUAACUUAUCCUUUAACCCUACUUCAAAAUUAGACCUAGCAACCUUCCAAAUUUUUUUUCUCCUAGCUUCAUCCCUCCAUUCUUUUGCCCAAUUAGAUCACACAUGCCUAGCACACAUCAUGUGUUCAUACUCAAGCAGUAGCUUUCUUAAGGUAGGAAUUAAACCCUUCAAAUAAAAUAUACAACUCACAUUAUUAUAAAAAUAGAACUAUAUAAUAAUAUAACUAUAUAAAUUAAGGAAUACAUUUAUAAUAAAAUACUAUUUAAAUUAAAAAAGAAAUAGGAAUAAGAAAUACCUUUGCAUAUGACUAACAACUGUUAGUUUUGUACCAUUUGUGAUCUCUAUAUCUAGCUUCAAAACUUUUAUAUAUCAUCUUCAAUUCUUUAUUGUUUCCAGAUCUAUAACUCUCAAUGCAAUAGGGUACAUUUGAUCAUUCCUGUCAUUUGAAAUAACAACUAGAAGUUGUCCUCUACAUGGACCUUUAAGGAAAUAACCAUCUAGUCCAAUUAUAUUUCUCACUCCAUCUUUCCAGCCAGCCUUUAAAGCUUGAAAGCAAAUGUAGAACCUUUUAAAAGCCUGUCUCACAUGCUCCCCUUCUUCAUAAUUGUGAAUAGAACAACUUGUUCCUAGGUUAGACUUCUUUAUUUCCUCCACAUAACCAAAUAACUUACCAUAUUCCACUCUUAGGUCACCAAUGACAAAUUUUAAUACAAGCAUUUUAGCUCUCUGCAGAUUAUUUUCCUAACUCUAACCUUUAGUUGAUUUCUAACCAAAUCCUCAAUUUCUCUAAGCUUAAUUCCUGGUUGUGAAAUAAAGUUAUCUUUAAAGUAGUUUUUAGCAAUAUAUCUGGAGUCAUAGAACUUGUUUUUAUUAGUCCUAGUACACCUAUGAACCAGAUUAUAAGUCUUUAUUGUGAAAUCAUUAGUAGAUUCUUAAAGGCCAGCAUAAAGUUGCCAUGGGCAACUAGGUUUCAUACACUUUACUAUAAUUCUAUCUAGCUCAUUAGGUCUUUUCUUCAAUGCUACAUCUUUUACAAUGCCACAUUUGGCCACACUAAAUUGAGACAUAUCAUCAAGUAUCAUGCCAAGCUCCUAAAUAGGUAAUUCAGUAGUUAGAUCAUACCUCUUCCUAACUCCGCCUUUUCUCCUUGGUGCAUCUUCAUCAUCAUUUACCUCAUCUCCUACAUCACUGCCAGGUUCAUCACUUGCAUAAUAUGAUUAAUCACCACCAAUAAUUCCCUUAUUUCCAUUGCCCCUAACAUUAACAUUUUCAUAACUAAUGUCAAUCCCAAUUUCACCUAAUGGAAUUUCAUCAUCCUCUACUCUAACCCUUCUUUUCUUUGCUCUCCUCCUAUUAUAUUCUCUAAUAUUCUCUUUAGUUUAUCUUAAUUCAUUAUCAAUAUCACUGCCAGCAUCCCCAUCACAUACUACCUCCUCUUCUUUAUCUGUAGUUGCUUCACUUUCUUCUUCAUUAUCACUUUCCAAUGUUAAAUUCUCCAACUCUACGUUUAGUAUGAUAUUACUCUCAUUUACCUCAUCCACUUCUUUAUUAAAUAUAAUCGAGUUAGGGUUCAUGGGAGGACUAGGGUCUAAGGCAGGAGUAUGGGUUGGGGCGGUAACCUGGGUUGGGGAAAACUCUUUACUUUGUAUAGUUUCUUUGAGAAUAAACAACUCAGCUUCAUCUAUUGUGUGUGUCACAUAAAUAUGCAUUUUAUCCCCAUUUUCAAGCCUUUAACCUACUGAAAAAAUCACUAACACUGCUUAAGCUCUUUAUACCUACCCCACUAUCAUAGAGAACAAAUAAUCCUUCUACUGUGGCAUAACAAACUCCUUAGUAUAACCCAAGAACUCAAACAAACUAAACUUAUCUACAUCUAAAUUUCUAGCAAAGUUCUCUAACCCAUUAAUGUAACUAGAGUUUGGGUUAUUUAUAAAAACCCAUAAUGAUGCCAUCUCAUAUUGACCAACACAUCCACCAUACUAUAAACAUAAAACAAACAAACAAACAAAAGAAAAUAAAGUUGCAGCCUUUUAAGGACCAUUAAUAUAAAAAAAAAUAACGAAAUUCACAAUAAUUUUCUAAUAUAUUCUAACUUACCAUUUUUAGUAAAGAUUCCUAACAAUACAAAAGCCAAAACCCUAAACUUAAUAACAUUAAAGCCAUAGUAACAUAGCAAGCUUCAAAAUUAAAUAUACCUUCAAUGAAAGAUAAACCUUACUUUAUCCAGAUAAUGCUUCAAACUUUCCAAAUUCUUUCACUAACUAAACGCACACAAUCGAGAAGAAAAGAAGACUGUAGAUGUUUUAGGAAUUUAAGAUUUUACUUUAUUGCAUGAUUUAAGGAUUUUGAUGUUUUGGAAGUUUUAACAUUUUAGAGAUUUUAGGCUAUCAAAAUGUGCGCUUUGAUGAUAGAGAAUAAAUUUCUUUGAAUUAUGCUUAGUCAUUAUUUAUGUGUCAUACUUUUUGACGUGUCAUAGCAACUGUUACGCACGCGCUACUGUUGUAAUUCACCAAGUGUCACAUUGAAAAAAUAAGAGCAGUUGAAGUGUUUAAAAGGUAAAAAAAUAUUGAGGUGUCCAAGUGACCAAUUUAAAAAAGUUCAAGUGUCUGCAUAUGCAUUGAGCCUAAAUCUUAAAAGCUGGAGAGCACUAGUGAGUACUAAAUUAUUUGAUAAUUGGGCAGACCUUUGAAAAUUAUAUCGAGCAAAUUCUAGGUGAGAGUAAAUUAUUUAUAUUUUUCUCAACCAGAAAAUAGUUAUGGCAGGAAAUGACUUCAUUAUUACUAAUAUAUUAUAUUACAUUCUUGCAUAAAUAGUGUAUAUUGUGAAUUUUUUAUACUUAAUAAUGAAAAAGUUACCCAUAUUAUCUAAAAAAUAGUAUUUUAAUUAGAUUUAAUGACUUGCUUAAAUCUGAAUUUUCUAGUUUUUAAUUUUUGACCAAAAGUUUUAAAUUUUUCAAAGAAAUAUAUGUAAUUUGUUAUUUUUUUCAAAAACACCUUUCAUUCAAAUUUUCAGGCCAAACUUGUAUACAUGGACGCUAGAAAGCUAAGUAAAAAAAGAAUAUAAAUGAGUCAAGUAAACACUAAACUUGGCUUUUCCUUUCCAGCAAAACACAUCGUUUAAGGGAAGCAAAAUUUUUGGAAGUUACAAAGCAUAAAUUGUCAAAAUCCUAAGCUUAUCAAGUAAAAACCUCUUCUUUAACUUACCUCUAGUAGAAGAAAAAGGAAAGCAAAAAGUGAAUCUUUGAAGCACUAAGUUCAUUGGUUGAAGCAUAAUUGGUGGGGUNNNNNNNNNNNNNNNNNNNNNNNNNNNNNNNNNNNNNNNNNNNNNNNNNNNNNNNNNNNNNNNNNNNNNNNNNNNNNNNNNNNNNNNNNNNNNNNNNNNNNNNNNNNNNNNNNNNNNNNNNNNNNNNNNNNNNNNNNNNNNNNNNNNNNAGCAUGUGGAAAACAUAACCAGUACUUAGAGUUUAGUUAUUUGGGAUAAAAUGAAUUUUUAGUGGACCAAUAAUAGUGGUUGUACAUAUAAAAAUGAUGAGAUUAAGUAGUUUUUAAUUGAUUUGUCCAUAUUCAGUUUGAAAUAAUAAUAUAGACUUGUUCAUACAUGGCUUAACUAAAAUAUAUAUGUAAUGCAGAGAUGGAUGCAUUUCAUAUAAAUCUACUUCAUGGUGGAACCUUUGUGGAAAAUGAGAACUUGACAGAGUACGUUGGGUGUCAAAUGGAAGUAGUGGAUAAUUGUGAUUCAAAUAGAGUUGAUUGGUUUAGAGGAUGAUGUUAAAAGUUAUGGAUACUCUAAGAUAUUGAAGGCUAGAUAUGUGGAUCAAGAUACUGAUUUCACUAAGAUGUUCAUAUAUGACAAAGACAUAAUGAAAAUGAUUAAGUUUAUCGGGAAUGGUGGAAUUUUUAUUUUUAUAGAAGUUGAGGAGGUUGUUAAGAAAAUAGUUGAUAAUGCUGGUGAACAUAGUGACAACCAAUCUACUGAAAACCUUAGUAUAGGUGAUGAUGAAGAGCAAGCAUGUGCAAAAGCUUCAAAUAUUGGAAGGGAAAUUCAAGGGAAUGUUGAUCCAUAUGGUGAAAGUGAGCCCAAAGAACUAGAUUAUGAUCUUAUUCAAGUUAGUGAAACAAAUGUUGGAAUGAGUGAUGGGGACUUCUGCUCAGAUGACGAGGAACAUUUGGAAGGAAGGAGGAACCUGAAGUGGGUUAGGCAAUAUGAGAAUGACUUUCAUGAUGAUAGGGACAGCGCCUCCUUAAAACCACCAGUUAGAGCUCAUAAUAAGGUAUUUUGUGGUGUCUUUUUUUUAAUUCUAUUAGGACUUUAAUUCCUUAGUUAUUUGAUUUAUUAUUUAUAAGAGUGCUAUUAGGGUUUGGGCACUAUAAAUACUCUUAUUAUUUAUUUUAUUAAUAACUUUUCAUUAUUAUUUUAUCAAAUCAAUUAUUUUGAGGAUUCUCUCAAAUUAUUUUUUAGUUUCUUAGAUUUAAAAGCUUGUUUUUCUCUGUGUUUUUAAUUUAGCAUUGAAUGCACGUUAAAGGUAGUAGUGGUAAUUUAGACUUUGAAGGUUUUCUAGAUUGGAUGACAAAAAUAGAUAGGUUCUUUGAAUAUAUAGAAAUUCUUGAGGAGAGGCAAGUGAAGUCAGUUGCUUAUAGAUUGAAAGGAGGUGCAUCGAUGCGGUGGGAUAAGUUGAAGGAGACAAGGCAAAAAGAAGGGAGAAAUUCUAUUACUAUAUGGAGACAAACAAAAUAUUUGUUACGAGGUAAAUUUUUACCUUAUGAUUAUGAGCAAUACAUGUUUCAGUCCUAUUAGAAGUUUGCACAAGUAGUAGGAGUGUGACUGAGUAUAUGGCAAAAUUCCUAAGAUUGGCAGAGAGGAACAACUAUCAAAAACUGAAAACUAACAAGCAGCUCGAUAUUUAGAUGGAUUGAAACCACAAUCAGGGAAAAGAUAAGAGUACAUAUAAUUUUUCAGUAUGCACAAAGCAAGGAACUUGGCAAUGAAGGCUGAGUUAAUAUUGUGAGAGAGGACAAGAACUGAAAAUUAUCACAUAUAUGGUAGAGGCGAUAAUAGAAUAAUAACAAGUGUUACCAAAGGAAAGGCGAUGUAAGAAGCAGAAAACAACAAUACCAUUAAGCCAAGAGAUAAUACUAAUACUAAAAAAUCUAAUAAUUAUUAUGCUAAACCUGCUCCAUUUAAAUGAUUUAAAUUCUUAGAGCCUAGGCAUAGAUCGAAUCAGUGUCCAAAUAGAAAAGCAAUGAAUGUGAUGGAGAAGGAGGUUGAGAAUUGUGAGGAAGAUGCAAUUUGUGAUCUGGAUGAUGGGGAUAAUGAAGGAGAAGAUGAUAAGCAUAAUUAUAUGUUUAUAUGUUGUUAGAAGGUUCAUAUUGAUGCUUAAUAAUGAUGAUGAUAUUAAAAAGCAUAGGUUGUUUUGCACUAGAUGUACGGUAUUAGAAAAAAGAUUUGAUGUGAUUAUUGAUAAUGGGAGUCAAGAGAAUAUAAUAAGUAGGAAAGUUAUAGAAAAAUUGCAAUUGAUGUAUAAAAAAUAUCCUAACCCAUACCUCAAUUUUCUUUGUUGGAAUGGAUGUAUGAAAAAAUAUAUGUUCAAGUGAAUACCACUAGAGUUGGAUAAAAAGGGUUCAAGUGAAAUAAAAAAAUAAACUCAUGCACUUAGGAUUGCCCAACCAAGGAUUAUAAAGCUUGGUAAAAAGUUCAUGAAAUUGUUGUCAAUGAGAUCAGAGAAAGAAUGAUGAUGAGUGUUUGAUAUUUUAUUAUAAUUUACUCUGUAAUGCAUAUGCUUUUCGUUGUGCAUUCAUUGUAUGUUAUUUAUACAGACAUGAUAAGGUUAUAAAGUGAAAAUCUUUGAGUUUGGCAAUGUUUAUUAUAAGGUACAUAGGGCAAGCAUAUAUGUUCACUUUAUUAAGUUGCUUCUAUAAAUGAAUUAUGAUUUUCAUAAUUUGAUAUUGUUAGAACUCUAGUAAGACAAGAGUAAACUAUGUAACUGGUGGUUCAACAACAGGUAUUACAGCUAGGGCAAUUCCCCCAAAUGGAUCAAGGAAAACUCCACCAACCAACUUUCAACAAUAAGCUGACACUAUGAAUUCUGCUAAUGUUGGUAACAAUAGUCAACUAUUAGCAAGAUGCUUAUUCUGGGGUAAUAGUCCUAUUGGUACCAAAACUUCGGCCUAUUUUCUAAUUAAUCCCAAUAUGUUAGUUCUUUUUCCUUUUUAGUAUAAAAAUUUUAAUUUUUAUUACAAGAAUGGUACCUAUUGGGAAUCCGUUUAAUUUUUUAUGACGUAGAAGGUGGAGGUC
rnacentral:lncRNA from 1 species